AGUGAACGCUGGCGGUAGGCCUAACACAUGCAAGUCGAACGAGUGGCGGACGGGUGAGGAAUAUCUCGGAAUCUGCUCUGUCGUGGGGGAUAACGUCUGGAAACUUACGCUAAUACCGCAUACGAUUGAAUGAGCCGAUGUCGGAUUAGCUUGUUGGUGGGGUAAAGGCCCACCAAGGCGACGAUCCGUAGCUGGUCUGAGAGGAUGAUCAGCCACACUGGAACUGAGACACGGUCCAGACUCCUACGGGAGGCAGCAGUGGGGAAUAUUGGACAAUGGGCGCAAGCCUGAUCCAGCCAUGCCGCGUGGAUGAAGAAGGCCUUCGGGUUGUAAAGCCCUUUUGUUGGGAAAGCGGUACCCGAAGAAGAAGCACCGGCUAACUUCGUGCCAGCAGCCGCGGUAAUAC
rnacentral:rRNA from 1 species